UACGUAGGGGGCUAGCGUUGCUCGGAAUGACUGGGCGUAAAGGGCGCGUAGGCGGCUGGCUUUGUCGGGCGUGAAAUUCCAGGGCUUAACCUUGGGGCUGCGUUCGAGACGGGUUGUCUUGAGUGGGGAAGAGGGUCGUGGAAUUCCCAGUGUAGAGGUGAAAUUCGUAGAUAUUGGGAAGAACACCGGUGGCGAAGGCGGCGACCUGGUCCUUGACUGACGCUGAGGCGCGAAAGCGUGGGGAGCAAACAGG
rnacentral:rRNA from 1 species